rnacentral:rRNA from 1 species
AUUGAACGCUGGCGGCAGGCCUAACACAUGCAAGUCGAACGAGUGGCGGACGGGUGAGUAAUGUCUGGGAAACUGCCUGACGGAGGGGGAUAACUACUGGAAACGGUAGCUAAUACCGACUACCAUAAGAUGUGCCCAGAUGGGCUUAGCUAGUUGGUGGGGUAACGGCGCACCAAGGCGACGAUCCCUAGCUGGUCUGAGAGGAUGACCAGCCACCCUGGAACGGAGACACGGUCCAGACUCCUACGUGAGGCAGCAGUGGGGAAUAUUGCACAAUGGGCGCAAGCCUGAUGCAGCCAGGCCGCGUGUAUGAAGAAGGCCUUCGGGUUGUAAAGUACUUUCAGCGGGGAGGCGUUACCCGCAGAAGAGUCACCGGCUAACUCCGUGCCAGCAGCCGCGGUAAUAC